rnacentral:rRNA from 1 species
UACGAAGGGGGCUAGCGUUGCUCGGAAUCACUGGGCGUAAAGCGCACGUAGGCGGAUCUUUAAGUCAGGGGUGAAAUCCCGGAGCUCAACCCGAUGACUGCCUUUGAUACUGGGGAUCUCGAGUCCGAGAGUGGUGGAAUGAUCGAGUGUAGAGGUGAAAUUCGUAGAUAUUCGGAGAACACCAGUGGCGAAGGCGGCCACACGUGCGUCGUCGUGACGCUGAGGUGCGAAAGCGUGGGGAGCAAACAGGAUUAGAAUCAUCCGUAGUACGU